rnacentral:misc_RNA from 1 species
GUUGUGGUCCGAAAUCUUGCUGACAGUAAAGGGGCCGAUCGCGAAUUUUUUCUGAUCGACGGCCUCCCGGAAAUAUUCGCGCCCUGCAAGAUUCGGCGAGGCGAGACUUGGCUCGCUGAAGCAGCGGAUAUNGUCCAGACCGACGACCAGAAGGGAGGUCAGCGGUUCGACAUGUGGACGGACCCGCACGACAUAAUCGGUGCAUGCGGUGCUGUUGAGCCGGCUGACCUCGUCGGUUUCGGCGACCGCCUG